rnacentral:rRNA from 1 species
ACGCUCGACACCUACGGAAGGCAGCAGUCGGGAAUAUUGCGCAAUGGAGGAAACUCUGACGCAGUGACGCCGCGUAUGGGAAGAAGGUUUUCGGAUUGUAAACCAUUUUAGACAAGGAAGAAACAAGACAGUACUUGUAGAAUAAGCUCCGGCUAACUACGUGCCAGCACGCCGACGUAUCUGAGGCGGGUCGUGGACGAAGGC